GUUUGAUCAUGGCUCAGAGCGAACGCUGGCGGCAGGCCUAACACAUGCAAGUCGAGCGCUCGUAGCAAUACGAGAGCGGCAGACGGGAGAGUAACACGUGGGAACGUGCCCUUCGGUUCGGAAUAACUCAGGGAAACUUGAGCUAAUACCGGAUACGCCCUUACGGGGAAAGAUUUAUUGCCGAAGGAGCGGCCCGCGUCUGAUUAGCUAGUUGGUGAGGUAACGGCUCACCAAGGCGACGAUCAGUAGCUGGUCUGAGAGGAUGACCAGCCUCACUGGGACUGAGACACGGCCCAGACUCCUACGGGAGGCAGCAGUGGGGAAUAUUGGACAAUGGGCGCAAGCCUGAUCCAGCCAUGCCGCGUGGAUGAUGAAGGCCUUAGGGUUGUAAAGUCCUUUCAGCGGGGAAGAUAAUGACGGUACCCGCAGAAGAAGCCCCGGCUAACUUCGUGCCAGCAGCCGCGGUG
rnacentral:rRNA from 1 species